rnacentral:rRNA from 1 species
GUGAGGAAUAUUGGACAAUGGGCGCAAGCCUGAUCCAGCCAUGCCGCGUGCAGGAAGACGCAUCUAUGGUGUGUAAACUGCUUUUGUACGGGAAGAAACACUCCCUCGUGAGGGAGCUUGACGGUACCGUAAGAAUAAGGAUCGGCUAACUCCGUGCCAGCAGCCGCGGUAAUACGGAGGAUCCAAGUGUUAUCCGGAAUCAUUGGGUUUAAAGGGUCCGUAGGCGGUUUAAUAAGUCAGUGGUGAAAGCCCAUCGCUCAACGAUGGAACGGCCAUUGAUACUGUUAGACUUGAAUUACAAGGAAGUAACUAGAAUAUGUAGUGUAGCGGUGAAAUGCUUAGAUAUUACAUGGAAUACCAAUUGCGAAGGCAGGUUACUACUUGUGGAUUGACGCUGAUGGACGAAAGCGUGGGGAGCGAACAGGAUUAGAUACCCGGGUAGUCC